rnacentral:rRNA from 1 species
UGGGGAAUAUUGCACAAUGGGCGCAAGCCUGAUGCAGCAAUGCCGCGUGUAUGAAGAAGGCCUGCGGGUUGUAAAGUACUUUCAGUCGGGAGGAAGGUGGUAAGGUUAAUAACCUUAUCAAUUGACGUUACCGACAGAAGAAGCACCGGCUAACUCCGUGCCAGCAGCCGCGGUAAUACGGAGGGUGCAAGCGUUAAUCGGAAUUACUGGGCGUAAAGCGCACGCAGGCGGUUGAUUGAGUCAGAUGUGAAAUCCCCGGGCUUAACCCGGGAAUUGCAUCUGAUACUGGUCAGCUAGAGUCUUGUAGAGGGGGGUAGAAUUCCAUGUGUAGCGGUGAAAUGCGUAGAGAUGUGGAGGAAUACCGGUGGCGAAGGCGGCCCCCUGGACAAAGACUGACGCUCAGGUGCGAAAGCGUGGAGAGCAAACAAG